rnacentral:rRNA from 1 species
GGUUGAUCCUGCGCAGUA